rnacentral:rRNA from 1 species
UACGUAGGUGGCAAGCGUUGUCCGGAUUUACUGGGCGUAAAGCGCGUGUAGGCGGAUGAGCAAGUCUGCUGUGAAAGCUCCUGGCUUAACCGGGAGUGGUCGGUGGAAACUGCUCGUCUGGAGGACGGUAGAGGUAGGUAGAAUUCCCGGUGUAGUGGUGAAAUGCGUAGAGAUCGGGAGGAAUACCUGUGGCGAAGGCGGCCUACUGGGCCGGACCUGACGCUGAGACGCGAAGGCGUGGGGAGCGAACGGG